GAUGAACGCUGGCGGCGUGCCUAACACAUGCAAGUCGAACGAAGCACCUUACCUGAUUCUUCGGAUGAAAGUUUGGUGACUGAGUGGCGGACGGGUGCGUAACGCGUGGGUAACCUGCCCUGUACAGGGGGAUAACAGCUGGAAACGGCUGCUAAUACCCCAUAAGCGCACGAGGAGACAUCUCCUUGUGUGAAAAACUCCGGUGGUACAGGAUGGGCUCGCGUCUGAUUAGCUGGUUGGCAGGGUAACGGCCUACCAAGGCAACGAUUAGUAGCCGGUCUGAGAGGAUGAACGGCCACAUUGGAACUGAGACACGGUCCGAACUCCUACGGGAGGCAGCAGUGGGGAAUAUUGCACAAUGGGGGAAACCCUGAUGCAGCAACGCCGCGUGAGUGAAGAAGUAUUUCGGUAUGUAAAGCUCUAUCAGCAGGGAAGAUAAUGACGGUACCUGAAGAAGAAGCUCCGGCUAAAUACGUG
rnacentral:rRNA from 1 species